AAGAAAAAGAAUUGUAAGAUUAAGAGAGAGUAAAGAGGAGCCAAAUUAACAUCUGAUCUUCUUAUGGCUGCAAGAUUAGCCCUCCAACGUGUCCUGAAAGAUAUUGUUUCAAGUCUUCCUUCACCAGCCCAUUCCUGCAGUGUCUUGAGUUCAUCAGCUGCCCAUGCUCCCCAAGGCAUCCUGUGCCUUCCUCUAUCAUAAUCAGCGUCUCCUGACUGUAUGGUUCCCUCCAACACUGGACUGAGUUUCGUGACAACAGGACUGAUUUUCAUCAAGGUGCUGGGAAUUCAGCAACAAGACAUUCGGCUUGGCCAGGAAAUCACCAUUAAGACAGACUCGGACUACGCUGACUGCUCUGCAGUGCUUUGCAGUGAUAACUCUCGGAGGCCUCUUUUCUUGCUUUCUGGGACAGUACACUCUCCGGGCCACUCUCAUCCCCUCUUAGUUUUAAUCCUAAAUUGCCUCUGAUGAAAGUAUCAACAAGCAGUGAAAGGCUGGAAGGCAAGAAGCAUAAGGAAGAAAGUAAAACAAGAGAUAAGAAUAAUCUGCUGGCCUGUGGAGAAUCAAAUGCUAACUGAAAUAAUCAGACUUACAUGUGUGAGUACAGCCCACAAGUCAUCAUCAAACCUCAUUUUGUAGAUGAAGAAAUGUAGGGUGAAAUUUUUAUGCAACCUAUGGCACAAGUUCUAAGACCAGAUAAGCUGGCCAUUCACGCUACAACCAUAAAGGAAAGGCUGACACCAUCUUUCCAACUUGCACAACCUUUGCUUAAACACGUGGUGGAGUAUUACUCUAAAUAAGUCAGCAAAAGUCAUAUGAAGAGAUAGAGAGCUGUGACUAUUCCCAAAUUGGAAUGAUGUGCCAUCAGUCUGGUUUUUACCUUCUAAUACUUCCUUCAGAGGUACAGAUACCAAUAAAAACGAUCAAGAACUGGAAAUCAUGGUAAAUGACUGGUUUCAUUACUUAACCAUGUUUAUAGUAUCUACAGAGAACAUCAAAAGCAAUCUUCUA